GGAUACCUGGUAGUCACGCCUUAAACGAUAAUAUNAGGUGUGGUGGGCAAAGCCCAUUCGGUNCGCNGCAAACGCAAUAAGUAUCCACUGGGGGAGUACGUUCGCAAGAAUGAACUCAAAGGAAUUGACGGGGACCCGCACAAGCGGUGGAGCAUGUGGUNUAUUCGAAGCAACGCGAAGAACCUUACCAAGUCUUGACAUCUCCNUGACCGGUGAGUANAGUCACCAUUCCUUCGGGACAGGGAAGACAGGUGGUGCAUGGUUGUCGUCAGCUCGUGUCGUGAGAUGUUGGGUUAAGUCCCGCAACGAGCGCAACCCUUAUUCUUAGUAGCCAGCAGGUAAAGCUGGGCACUCUGGGAAGACUGCCAGGGAUAACCUGGAGGAAGGUGGGGAUGACGUCAAAUCAUCAUGCCCCUUAUGAUUUGGGCUACACACGUGCUACAAUGGCGUAAACAAAGGGAGGCAAAGGAGUAAUCUGGAGCAAACCCCAAAAAUAACGUCUCAGUUCGGACUGUGGUCUGCAACCCGACCACACGAAGCUGGAAUCGCUAGUAAUCGCGAAUCAGAAUGUCGCGGUGAAUACGUUCCCGGGUCUUGUACACACCGCCCGUCACACCAUGGGAGUCAGCAACGCCCGAAGUCAGUGACCUAACCUUAUAGGGAGGAGCUGCCGAAGGCGGGGCCGGUAACUGGGGUGAAGUCGUAACAAGG
rnacentral:rRNA from 1 species